rnacentral:rRNA from 1 species
AUUGAACGCUGGCGGCAGGCCUAACACAUGCAAGUCGAGCGGAGCGGCGGACGGGAGAGUAAUGACUAGGAAUCUGACUGGUAGCGGGGGAUAACGUCCGGAAACGGGCGCUAAAACCGAAUACUAUCAGAAGAGCACAGGUCGGAUUAGCAAGUUGGUGGGGUAAAGGCCUACCAGGGCGAAGAUCCGGAACUGGUCUGAGGGGAGGAUAAGUCACACGGGAACUGAGACACGGCCCAGACGCCUACGGGAGGCAGCAGUGGGGAAUAUUGGACAAUGGGGGAAAGCCUGAUGCAGCCAUGCCGCGUGUGUGAAGAAGGUCUUCGGAUUGUAAAGCGCUUUAAGUGUGUAGGCGUUACCAACAGAAUAAGCACCUGCUAACUUCGUGCCAGCAGCCGCGGUAAUAC